rnacentral:rRNA from 1 species
GAUAAGAGCAUCUGAUGGAUGCCUUGGCGACAAGAGGCGAUGAAGGACGUGGCAUGCUGCGAUAAGCUGUGGGGAGGUGCAAGCAACCUUUGAUCCGCAGAUUUCCGAAUGGGGAAACCCGGCACUGUAGUGUCACCCGAGAGGGAGCGAACCCGGAGAACUGAAACAUCUCAGUACCCGGAGGAAAGGACAUCAAUA